AACGACUCUCGGCAACGGAUAUCUCGGCUCUCGCAUCGAUGAAGAACGUAGCGAAAUGCGAUACUUGGUGUGAAUUGCAGAAUCCCGUGAACCAUCGAGUCUUUGAACGCAAGUUGCGCCCCAAGCCUUUUGGCCGAGGCACGUCUGCCUGGGUGUCACA
rnacentral:rRNA from 2 species